rnacentral:snRNA from 1 species
AUAUACUAAAAAAAUUUUUUUAAAAAUUGGAACGAUAUAGAGAAGAUUAUCAUGGCCCCUGCGCAAGGAUGACGCAAAUUCGUGAAGCGUUCCGUAUUAAA